AGUGAACGCUGGCGGCGUGCCUAAUACAUGCAAGUCGAACGGAGUGGCGCACGGGUGAGUAAUGUAUAGCUAACCUGCCCUACACUAGAGGACAACAGUUGGAAACGGCCGCUAAUACUCUAUAGUGUAGGAUGAGGCUAUAUUGUAUCAGCUAGUUGGUGAGGUAAUGGCUCACCAAGGCGAUGACGCAUAACUGGUCUGAGAGGAUGAUCAGUCACACUGGAAGGGAGACACGGGCCAGACACCUACGGGAGGCAGCAGUAGGUAAUAUUGCUAAAUGGGGGAAACCCUGAAGCAGCAACGCCGCGUGGAGGAUGACACUUUUCGGAGCGUAAACACCUUUUGUUAGGGAAGCGGUACCUAACGAAUAAGCACCGGCUAACUCCGUGCCAGCAGCCGCGGUAAUUC
rnacentral:rRNA from 1 species